rnacentral:tRNA from 1 species
GUCGAUGUAGCUCAGUGGUAGAGCACCCGCCUGUCGAGCGGGUGGCCGCGGGUUCGAGCCCCGUCGUCGACGC